rnacentral:rRNA from 1 species
UACGAAGGGUGCAAACGUUGCUCGGAAUUAUUGGGCGUAAAGCGCGCGCAGGCGGUCCUUUAAGUCUGAUGUGAAAGCCCUCGGCUCAACCGAGGAGGGUCAUUGGAAACUGGAGGACUUGAGUGCAGAAGAGGAAAGUGGAAUUCCAAGUGUAGCGGUGAAAUGCGUAGAGAUUUGGAGGAACACCAGUGGCGAAGGCGACUUUCUGGUCUGUAACUGACGCUGAGGCGCGAAAGCGUGGGGAGCAAACAGG